AAUGAACGUUGGCGGCGUGGAUUAGGCAUGCAAGUCGAGCGGUAGGAGUUCACUCACCGCGUGUUUUCCGGAUUCGGAAAGCAUGAGGUGAGUGGACUCUGAGAGCGGCGAAAGGGAGAGUAACGCGUAGUUACGUACCCCGGGGACCGGAAUAGCCACGGGAAACUGUGGGUAAUGCCGGAUAACAUCUUCGGAUCAAAGGUGUGAUUCCGCCCUGGGAGCGGACUGCGUUGUACUAGCUUGUUGGUAGGGUAAUGGCCUACCAAGGCUAUGAUGCAUAGCGGGUGUGAGAGCAUGACCCGUCUCACUGGGACUGAGACACUGCCCAGACACCUACGGGUGGCUGCAGUCGGGAAUCUUCGGCAAUGAGCGCAAGCUUGACCGAGCGACGCCGCGUGCGGGAUGAAGGCCCUCGGGUUGUAAACCGCGAAAGUAGGGAGGAAGUCAUCGGGGGUUCUCCCCCGGAGUUGACCUAUCUACAGUAAGGACGGGCUAAGUACGUGCCAGCAGCCGCCGUAAC
rnacentral:rRNA from 1 species